rnacentral:rRNA from 1 species
AGUAAUGUAGUGGGAUUUGCCCGAUAGAGGGGGAUAACUACUGGAAACGGUGGCUAAUACCGCAUAAUGUCUACGGACCAAAGCAGGGGCUCUUCGGACCUUGCACUAUCGGAUGAACCCAUAUGGGAUUAGCUAGUAGGUGGGGUAAAGGCUCACCUAGGCGACGAUCUCUAGCUGGUCUGAGAGGAUGAUCAGCCACACUGGGACUGAGACACGGCCCAG